UUACAGCCAUAUCACGUUGAAACUCCGAUUCUCGUACGCACACUGAAGUAAAGCAACGUCGAGCCUGGUCAGAACCUAGAUGAGUGACCGCUUGGGAAUACCAG